rnacentral:SRP_RNA from 1 species
CGAGCCGUAGGAAGGGCUCCGGAAUACCGGAGCCAGAUGAACUACUACGUAGUGUACAGUCCACUAUCAACCCCCAUACUCGCUAUGAACCCCGCCCCGUGGGGUUAACGGUAGCGGAGCCCUCUCCGGAGGGAGAGGGUAAACCGCUUUAACCAGGGGAACCAGGCUAGGCCCGGAAGGGAGCAACCUAACCCUGGCCGUUAACGUUCACGGGUCUCCGGGGUUGAGUUGAGUAUGGAAGGGCUCUGGUAGUGGAUUGUACACUACGUAGUGGGGCUACGGCUCG